UUCAAACGAGGGUAAAAUAACGAAAGGCAAGGCUUAGAUUUUGAUAAUUUUAUUAGCGCAUUGUUGUUAUAGUUGAAUAUUAUCAAAAUGCCGGAUCAUUUAGGCAAUGAUAUGCGUAAGGUAAAACACGAGGAUGACAAAGAAGAUAAACCUAUUCAAGCUCUAGAUGAAGGUGAUAUUGCUCUUCUAAAAACAUAUGGUGCUGGACCAUACUCAAAGGCUAUCAAACAAGUUGAAGAUGACAUCACCUCAAUAUCUAAAAAAGUAAAUGAAUUGACA